rnacentral:lncRNA from 1 species
UUGGUCCUGGUUAUCUAUUUCCACUUGGUGCUCUGAGAGAUUAGCACUUUUCCUGCCAGCGGAGUGCAAUUUCUGUGAAUUCAAUCAAGGUACGUAUUUUUUUUUGCGUGCGAGCUGCACGGAAUCGCACUUAGCAACUUGUCACCUCUUCCAAAUGAAACCCGGUCUCUUGGCGGGAAGGGGGGUGGGUGGAAACUGCCAUUAGGAUGGGGGGACGGAAGCUGUGUGUUGCUGCUUCUCUGAAAUCAGGCCCUGCGGCCUGAACUGCAGGUCUGGAUAUGAAAGAAAUCUGACUUUCUAAAAAAAACUUCAUUUUUUUUCCUCGCUAUGUGAUAGCUGUGUAGUUAGGGCAAAAUUGUCUGGGGUUUUUGCGAAAACGUAAGCGUGUGGUUGCCUGCGGUGGCAGAUAGGAAACGUGUGUGCCCCUGCCGUCCUGAAGCCUCUGGGGCCGUCUGCAAGACCACCAGCUUCGCACUGAUCAUGAAUCCCUUUUCCGGUCCUGAUGUCCCCAUUUCGUAGAUGAGAAAACCGAGGAUAGAUGACCAGCCUCAGGGUCCACCUAUUUGACAUCAUGCUUCUUGGUGGUUAACGCUGCAUUCCAGUUUCAUUAAAAACCCGCAGGGCUCCAGAAAAAGGUUUCGUGUCUGUGGCAUGGCUGACUGUGGGCCAGGGUCCCAGCUGGCUGUAGCAUAGUUUUGUGAUGACUUCUUUCUCCCGGCUUAGCUCUCAGGGCACUGCCUGCCUCUGUCUCUCCGAGGUUGCUGGGUGAAUUGUGUCAGGACAAAGAAAGGGCUGUGUUCCCUGGCGCGCUCCGGCUCCUGAAAUUGUUCAGUGAGCAAAAUGGGAGACCAAAUAAAUAACAGGAAUCAUUUAGUACCGUGUGCCAGGCAGGUCCCUCAAAUAGGACCCGCAGCGACUGGCCACGCUUGCUAGGAGGCUAUUCCCCCGGAGAAAAGAGCUUUCCAAAUAUGCUGUUCUUUUCCUUCACUGCAGUAGAGAAUAUUUGGAAAGUAUAGAUAAAAACUAACCUUGCCCAGAAUCACGUCCUCUAAACGAUGUCAGCAUCUUGGGGUUAUUGCCGGAGGUGCUGAUGCUGGCUGGUGCCCGCUCGCAGGAGCUAAAUGAAGGCGUUUAUUCCCCAUUUCAGUGGGGAAUAUAUGUCACCGCAUAGUGACGUCCCAUUGGCAGCUUGAAAUCAGUCACGGUGGGAGUAUUCACAUCACAGUAACUGGCACGUAAACUAGGUUUUUUGCUUGCUUUACAUGUAUCAGUACUCAGCUGGAUAUGGUCUUCCAGGUUUCUUUUCUAUGUUCUAAGCAGAGCGUAACUACUUUUUUUUUUUUUUAACGUUUAUUUAUUUUUGAGACAGAGAGAGACAGAGCAUGAACGGGGGAGGGCCAGAGAGAGAGGGAGACCCAGAAUCCAAAACAGGCUCCAGGCUCCGAGCUGUCAGCGCAGAGCCCGACGCGGGGCUCGAACUCACGGACCGCGAGAUCAUGACCUGAGCCGAAGUCGGACGCUCAACCGACGGAGCCACCCAGGCGCCCCGCUACUUUUUAAUUUAACGUAACAACGCAAGCAUUUCCUCCUGGUAUAAAAAAAAACAAAACAAAACUUAUAGCACCAUUUUUUCUUUUUAAACAGAAGCAGAAGUCUUUAUUGAAUGGAUGCAUUAUAAAUUACUUAAUGGUUCAAAUUAUUGGGCAUAUAUAUUGCUUUCGAUUAUUGGAAGUUGUGCCUCAGCGAGCGUAUUUAUGUAUUAAGCGUCAAUUUCCAGAAAUAGACUUAGUGGGUAAACUGACACCACAUUCUUUGGCUCCUGGUGAGUAGCGUCUCGUGUUUCCCUGAAGCGGAAAGCUUACUGCUCUGAGUUUCAGUGUCGUCUCUCCCGCUGUCUUGCCCACCAGCUCUUGAGUUCCUUGAAAUCAGUGACCUGCGUUUUGCUCCUUAUCCUUGGUACCUGGUGCAGUGCUGGGCUUAUGGAAAAUGCUCACUACAUAGUUACGAAUCAAAACGAUGCCUCGUUUAUGCCUAAACAAGGUGUUCCAAUGUUCCGCGCUGCCUGCAUUUCUACCAAAUCCUACAGGACGUCGAGAGGAUCAAUAAAGUCGGCAAAAAGAGGCAACUUCCGCUAGGAGGUGAAAAAUGUUCUCUUGUUACUGUGCUUGUUUGCAAAAAGGACGUGUUGUAAGUGGAACGUACGAGAAGAUAAAACGGCCCUGGGUGGCCUGGUGAAUGCUUGGAGGAGCGUGGAGGUCUUAAAACAUUGAAGAGAGCGAGCCGGGAGCCACCCGAGGCCCCUCCAGGAUUUCUUCGCUGAUUUCUUGGGUAUUCACUGAAUGCUUCUUUGAUACUUUAAUAUCUCCCCAACAGCUACCGUAGCUUUCAAACAGUCUGUCCCAUCCAGGUGGCCAGGAGAGUCACAACCCCAGACACUUGAGUGCUACCGGGUAGAGGCCUCCCUCGUAGCCUCUUUCUCCCCUUGCUUACGGUCCAUUAGAUUUUUUUCUCAAACUUGGCCCUUGACUUUGCUUCCUAGUUUCCGCUCCUCUUGGUCUCCGAGAUUUCCUGUACGUGAGCCUCACGGUUCUCUAUCACAACAGGGAGGGCCCGACAGAUCUGAGUUUGAAUGCUGGUCUUGCCAUUUACUAGUUGUUUGACCUCUGUCAAGGGAUUUAACUCUUGGGGUCUCCGUUUUAUGAUCCGUAAAAUAGUUUCGUGGCGAUGACAAAACCCAAUGAGCUCUCAGCGUGUAUUAGGCAUUCAGUGAAAGGAAGCAUUACUGUUUUUCUUGGCCAAGGAAUUGGGGUCGUACUCACUUUCAGAUAUUUUUCCACUUUGGCUACCUUGAGUAGAAACUCCCAUCAUAGCCCCCUACCCUUGCUUCAAAUCCAGACUUCCCUUCCUCCCUCCUGCCUCCCCAUCCGGUCUGCUUUUGUAUCAGGCAGAUCGUACCUUUGGCUUCUAGUGGUUUCGUCCAUGUGAGUUUGGCUUUGAAGCCAACAACGACUGGGUUAAGAGAUCUUCUUUUUUUUUUUUUAAUUUUUUUUUAACGUUUAUUUAUUUUUGAGACAGAGAGAGAGCAUGAAUGGGAGAGGGUCAGAGAGAGAGGGAGACACAGAAUCUGAAACAGGCUCCAGGCUCUGAGCAGUCAGCACAGAGCCUGACGCGGGGCUUGAACUCACGGACCAUGAGAUCAUGACCUGAGCCGAAGUCGGACGCUUAACCGACUGAGCCACCCAGGCGCCCCUAAGAGAUCUUCUUAAAGGAAGGCAUAAUACUCAUCUUCUUAAAGGAAGGCAUAAUACUCUCUUCUUCAAAAAAUUUAUUAAAAGAAUUUUUUUGAACAUUUAUUCAUUUUUGAAAGACAGAGAGACAAAGGGGCAGAGAGAGAGGCAGACACAAAAUUCGAAGCAGGCUCCAGGCUCCAAGCUGUCGGCACAGAGCCCGAUGCGGGGCUCAAACCCACAAACUGUGCAAUCACGACCCGAGCCAAAGUCGGACGCUUAACUGACUGAGCCCCCCAGGUGCCCCUCUUCCAAUAAUUUCUAUUAACAAUCUGAUUUCAGUUUCCUGACCUCUUUGAACUCGGAAUGAAGUUCUGGACCCAGCUUCCUGCAAGGAUUGAGCUCAGUCGGCUGGAACCAGGGGACCCUUUUACCUUCACCAAUGCCACAUUGCUGCCUUGUCCUGUUUCUUGGUGGAGAUUUAUGUGUUUUUCAUGCUGUCUCACUCAGUUUCCUCCGUCACCCAGUGGAUUGUUCUUCUUUUACGGAUGGAGAGCCUGACGUCCAAGGCAACUAAAUGAGUUGUCCAAGGUUGCUCAGGAAGGAGGAGGGCUGGAGUCGAACCCUGUCUUUAUGCCUCCACAACUUGUACUCUGUCUACCGUGGGCCUUCUCUGCAUCCCAGUUUCAUUAUUUACACCACGAAAACAGAAACACUCUGUCGCAUCAGAUAGCUGUGAAAAGCUAAGCAGGAGUCAUCCGUGUGGCUCUGGACAAAGUUGGUCAGAGCCGUUCAGAGCAGUUCUGACUAUCUUGGGUAAUCGGCGUCUAGACCGAUCUUGUCACCAGGCAGGGCCGGAGGGAUGGAGACCAGGUGGGGAGUGACUGCGCGGGGCCAUAGAACUAGGGGUGACACACAGGUCAAGUGAGGAAAGCCAGUCGAAGACAGGCCACGGUCUCAGAUGCCCCGAUGUGCACUACUCAGGGGUGACUGGAGGUAAUAAACGAAGCCUUCUCUGGAUUGACUGCCAACUGGGUUGUCUAUAGUGACGCUAAAAUGAACUAUUUAGUAAAUCUAACCCAAAUGGACUCCUGCUCACCAAUUACCGGCCCCAUUAACUUAGUACAAGUUUUCAACCUGUUUUGUACAGCUGAUAAAAAAGGGCCUUUGGUGACGGUAGGUGAGGUCUCCAGCAAAGUCUCAGAGUGGGGCUUCAUGGAGAUUCUUCCUGCAGUAACAUCCCGAGUCAAUCAUGGACUUUUCCAGCUACUGAAGGAGCCCAUCAGAAGCCAUCUGAAUGCGGCUGCGCCCCCUGGGGCGAUGUCCAGACUUCCAGGGUGGCGGGCAGUCAAGCCGCGCUCCUUCCAGAAUGGAGGCUAGACCAAGCUUAUCUUUCUUGGCGGCACAGGCCAGGGUGAGGUGCCCACCGCAGAAACACUCUGAAAGUGGCAACCCAGCGUCCCCGCCAAGCUCCGCCGUACCCUAGCCGCCCUCGCUUGCCCUUGAACUAACUAAUGCGUCCGCCUGGAGAACUGCGUGUCCCCAGUGAAAAAUCUGUUAGCCUUUGGGCUCCUCUCCUAAAUCUCUUUGUGGCCUGGCCGACUCCUGGGUUCUCGCAAAGGGGUCGAAACGUGUGCAGCCCAAGCCCCUGCUUUCUCGAGACGCGCGUGGCGAAGCGUGGGGGCGGUCUGUGCCGUGGCGAGCGUGUCCCCGCGCCACUGGCUGGGCGGCCGCGCUCCUUCUGUCGAGGGCGGUGGCAACUGCGUUCUGGGUGGGAGUCCGGCGCAAAGAACCCACACCCUCCCUGGAGCCUCCUUCCUUCCUCCGCCACUCCGCGGGGCCGCCCCCCAGCCUCCGCGUCUUGUUUCGCGUAUUGGGACCACGUGCACGUGACGCGUUGCGAGCGGAGAGUCCCCCGCGGACGACACAGUUCUGCUUUCUCCCGCUCAGCGUAGGAAAUACGCGGGCAGUUUCCCGGGCCUGCGGCGAAACCCAGAAGGGGAGGGGCGCCUGGGCGGUUCCGUCGGUUACGCGGCUCAGGUCGUGAGCUCACCGUGGUGCGCGGGUUCGAGCCCCGCCUCGGGCUCUGUGCUGACAGCUCGGAGCCUGGAGCCCGCUUCCGAUUCUGAGUCUCCCUCUCUUUCUCGCUCUCUGCCCUUCCCCAGCUGGCACUUUGUCUCUCUGUCUCUCAAAAAUAAAUAAAUGUUAAAAAUAAAAAUUAAAAAAAAAAAAAAACAAAAAAAACAGAACAGAGAAGGGGAAAUGCAGAGGCUUCUGGGCCUGGGAGGCCCGGAGGAGUCCAUGAGAAUGUCCGCAGCCCUGCGUGGGUGCGCAGCCUGGAGCGCGCAGAGCGAGCAUCUGGGGCGUCCACACCGCCCAGGAAUCCGCAGGGCAGCCUGUGCCCUCUGCCUGGUGCCGGCGUAAUCCGGCCUGUCUCCGAACUCACCUCUGGCCGUGCAGGGGAACAAGCUCCUUGCCGGAACGUGAGCCGGGCUAUGGUGCCCUGAUGUUUCCCCUCCUGUUUCUGGCUUCAAGGGAAGGGCUGGGGGGGGUCGCAGAAUGCUGAAGGGACAGGCAAGGACCCCCUCCCACCUGUGUGUCCUUCCCUGCCCGCAGAUGGUGGCAAGAUCCUGCAUGCCGCGACUCCUCCAGUCCAGGGCAGGCCCUUCUGAAGGCCACGUCUGCCCACCCGGGCCCUGGCAGUGGGUCCCCCUGGGCUCCCGGUGGAAUGAGCCAGAACCUGCUCACCAGGGUCAGCAGGCCCGGGCUCAGUCACCGGGAGCUACCUCUAGGGUUAAGACCUGUGCUGCCCGCUGGUCCUCUCAAACUAGGUCUCUUCCUGUGCACCGAUGAGAAAAAUCAGGGCUGCAGCCUUCCGGGAUGUACUAAAUAGGAAACGAGAUGGUGUCUGUCACUGCCCUGUAGGGUGCCUGGGACAGAAACAGGCACCCAGCAAAGGUAAGUGGGCUCCCUCCCUUCUGUCUCCCUCCUUUCGUUUCUAGGUUUUCCAAACUCGCGAACUGUUCUGUCUCCGGGAGGAGUGAACACAGCACUGGGCUUCGAGAAUGAGCGCCGGGAUUUUCCUGCAGGAUUUGCCUCCUUCCAGCCUCCUCACAUGGAGCGAAGCCCUCCCGAGAGGCAGCCCAGAGGACUCCUCCAGGACGUGGGGCCUGGCCUCACACUGCGGAGUUGAAGUCUCGCUCUCCAGUGCUUUGCUGGGCAGUCGCGCUGCCCCUCUCUCUGUUUCUUCGUCUGUGAUACGAGAAGGACCACGGUUCCCGUUUCCUUGGGUUGUCGUGGGGAUCAGAGGAGACAGAAGUACCUGUGAAACGCUUGGUGAGACUCCGUAAGGUUGGGCUAUUUCUUCCUCAUCUGCAAACUAACGUGGGGAUCAUACUCCCGACCGUGGCCACGCCGAGAAGACCAGCGGACGCAGUGAAGAGUGUGAACAUGCCUUUGGAGUCUGCAGAAUAAGCUAUACAUACAGGAGUCGUUGUUACGCCGCCCUCGGAGCCUUU